CAGUCGCCGCGGUAACACGAAGGGGGCUAGCGUUGCUCGGAAUGACUGGGCGUAAAGGGCGCGUAGGCGGUUUAUACAGUCAGAUGUGAAAUUCCUGGGCUCAACCUGGGGACUGCAUUUGAUACGUAUGGACUUGAGUGGAGAAGAGGGUCGUGGAAUUUCCAGUGUAGAGGUGAAAUUCGUAGAUAUUGGAAAGAACACCGGUGGCGAAGGCGGCGACCUGGUCUUUAACUGACGCUGAGGCGCGAAAGCGCGGGGAGCAAACAGGAUUAGAUACCCGAGUAGUCCCUGUCUCUUAUAC
rnacentral:rRNA from 1 species